rnacentral:lncRNA from 1 species
CUUUUAACUGAAAUUGUAUCAUACUGCAGAUAAUAUUUUAUAAAUUACUUUAUAAAGUUAACAAUCUGACCAUAACUUGUCGUGAAAUGUUCUUCUACAAUAGCAUAUUAUGGCAGCCUCUACUAAGAGCCAUGAGUCUCCAUUGACCAUGAAUGGUUAAUGACGAUUUCUAGAGUGACUACAGAGCCACAUUACUGUGAUGGCCCCAGUGCUAAAGGGAAGGGCGCAGGCUCCAUCCUGGCCAGUUCCUCCCUACCCAGUGGACUGAGAGUUUGUUGAGGAUUGAGUCAUAUCCCUCCAUUAGCUUAAAUCCUGCUUCUUUCUCUUCUUUCUACAGUCUACAGACCUGUGCCAAGGAGCCAAAGAGAAGAGAUCAGAAUAACCAAGGCAGGAUCUCACUUUGUCACCCAGGCUGGAGUGCAGUAGUGGCAAAAUCACGGCUCACUGCAACCUCAACCUCCUGGACUCAAGCCAUCUUCCUGCCUCAGCCUCCUGCAUAACUAGGACUACAAGCGUGCACCACCAUGCCUGGCUAAUUUUC